CUUCGAAGAGAAAGCAAAGCAGAUGCUGAUUUCUUCUACAGGAUAAGAUUGGACGAUGAGGACCGUGUCAGAAACAUAUAUUGGGAGGAUGGUGCUGCAAGAAGAGCCUACAAACAUUUCCGUGAUUGCAUUUCGUUCGACGCGACAUAUCUCACUAAUAUGUACAAGAUGCCCCGCGCUCCAUUCAUAGGAAUAAGUAACCACAAUCAGUCAUUGCAGUUCGGUUGCGGCCUCGUUCGGAACGAAGAUACGGAUGGUUACACUUGGGUGUUCAAAACCUUCUUGGAGUGCAUGGGUGGACUUGCUCCGAUGAACAUAAUAACAGACCAGGAUUUUAGCAUGCGUGCAGGCAUAAAGGAGGUCUUUCCGUUGGCAGUGCACAGGCACUGCAGGUGGCAUAUUAUUAAGAAGGCUGAGGAGACGCUAGGACCAUUCUUUGCUGACCGUCCAGAGCUGCACAAGGCAUUAGAGUUGUGCGUGGACCACAACUUGACGGUGGAGGAGUUUGAACAGAGCUGGACGGCUAUGAUUGAAACAUACCAAGUCCAAGACAACGAGACACUUACUAGCCUGUGGGAGAAGCGAAUGUACUGGGUGCCGGCCUACUUCAUGUAG
rnacentral:rRNA from 1 species